CCUACGGGAGGCAGCAGUCGGGAAUAUUGCGCAAUGGAGGAAACUCUGACGCAGUGACGCCGCGUAUGGGAAGAAGGUUUUCGGAUUGUAAACCAUUGUCGUUAGGGAAGAAGAAGUGACAGUACCUAGGAGGAAGCUCCGGCUAACUAUGUGCCAGCAGCCGCGGUAAUACGUAGGGGGCGAGCGUUAUCCGGAUUUAUUGGGCGUAAAGCGUGCGUAGGCGGCUUGUUAAGUCCAGAAUUAAAGCCCGAGGCUUAACCUCGGUUCGUUCUGGAUACUGGCAGGCUUGAGUAUGGUAGAGGCAA
rnacentral:rRNA from 1 species